ensembl:lncRNA
GGGUGGUGCCUGACAAAGGUCACUGUCCAGAGCAGCUGGGCCCGAGGGGAGGGCAUGGCAUUGGCCACGGCUUGGUUCAGCUCGGCUCAGUGACAAGGGAGCCCCUCCCAGGUGCUGGGGGAUCUGAGAUAGUUUGUCAGCAACAUCCGGCCCCAUGACCGAAGUAUUAUGAAGGAACAAUGAAGCUCUUGGACCUAGAAAACAGGGCAGGGGAGAGAAAGGAAUCUAAGGAGAUUUGAGGAACAGAAGUGGACCCAAAGACUAACAAAGGCCCUCAUCGAUCGUUCCAGAGAAGAAUCAAUCAGAAAGAUAAACAUUUGGGCUCACUGUAUAAGAGGAAUGUUGUUGGUGCUGCCAUAGAGUCAAGGACAGAACUGUGAGUGGCACAAAGCCAAACUUAGGGAAACAUCAGGAAGAAUGAGAAGGCGAAAUGUCAGCCAGUCCCACUCCAUCCAGCAGGGUUCCUCAGGAGGGGCUCCCACUGCUGAUGCUCAUGAAGAUUUGCUACUGCACCCACGCCGUCUCAGAGCCACCUGGGCUCCCACUCCUCAUAGCUGGCAGGAUUCUGGGCAUGUGGGUUCAGCCCUACUCUGAGGCUUUUGCCAGGUGGCCCUGUGGAUCAUGGGCACAGACCUGAGCUCUCCAUCGCACCGGCUGGGUCUGCAACAGAAGAAGCAGCUGGGAUUGACGUCUUCAGGCUGGCAUUGGCAGACUCAAGCUGCUUCGAGGGCUGCAGGAACCGCCCGGGGCAUCACUGGCUCCACAGCACCAACCCCAACCUCCAGGAAAGACUGUUCUCCAACCAUGAUGACACCAUCAGCCACCACAGCCCCCUAGGCCUCAAGAGCCCUCAUAAUAGUUUCCUGCAAUGUGUUCAUUCACUCAGCCCAUGUGUCCCUGACCACCUGUGUGCUGGCUCUCCUGUUGGACAUCACAGGAGGAUUCUGAAGAAUCUGAGAACUACAAUGGAGUAGGAAAGGUACACGUCCACUUUGGAAACUGGUUGGCAUUCCUAAUCAUGAACAUGUGGCUCACGCCUGUAAUCCCGGCCUUCAGGAAAGCUGAGGGUCUUGGUGAGCUAAAUUGCCCAGACUGAGCUCGAACUUCUCAGUCCUCCUGCCUGAGCCUCCCAGAGGCUAGGAUAACAGGCAUGCACCACCACAGCCAGCUGUAAUUCUUGAUCUGUGAGAAGACCACGUGGUUAGUUCCCUUUGGAAAAGCACUGGCUCCAGCGGCCAGGCAGGAAGUGGAGGGGAAAGUACCGCGUUCACGCUUCGCCGCUCCUAGUUGCAAGGCUUCCCAGCUGCCCACUCCCUUCCUUGGCCUCUGCUUUCUUGCAUAAGACACCAGCUUCCCCUUGGCUGUGUCAGCAAGUCACCCUCACCAGCGAUUCCUCAGGCUGUGGCCGACUCUAGGCUGGCAUUUGCAAUCCGGAAGCACUGUUGGCUUCUCGGUUUUUUCCAAGGAAAUGAAAAGGCUCCGAGUUCCCAGCAUCGUGGCUCAGUGGAUCACCACGUCGCAGCUGGGCAAAGGCGCUUUAUCAUCCCAGCAAGAGGAGCAGCCCCCAGCCCCCCACCCGGGAAGGAGGGGUGCAGGGAGGGUGCGGAAGCAGGGAAGGCCGUGAGGUCAGUCUCAGCGCCCACAGCCCCCUUCCCAGGAGGCUGACAGUCAGUGCAGAUGCUGUCCUCCUCCCUGAAAAUCCUGCCCUUCUCCUCCGGGGCUCAGGAUGCUGCUGCAUGGUCACCCCGAGAGCCCCUGCGGGACAGGAGCAGGUCUAGAGGAGCCGAUGGCCAGUCCGAGAACGUGGACAGGGCCCCCCCCCCCGCCUGAGUCUGCAGACUCUGAGGUCCUGCUGGCCCCGCAGAGCCCAACCACUUGUUAAUUACAGAGAGGACUUUAGUCUUUUAUUAGCACAUGUUUGUGAUAGCUAAUGUUGACAUUCCUGUGUGGAGUAGGUGCAUGCACAUAACACAUCCCAAUUCUUUUUCCAUCCCCUUUCUCUCUCCUCCCUCCUCCCCUCUCCGUCUCUGCCCUUCCUGUUUAAGAAAGAUCCAUCUCCCUACUUCCUGUUAUAUAUCUUUUAUUUAUAAUUUGGGUUUCUCAUAUAAAAGAAACCAUGCAAUAUUUAAGCUCUCGUCCCUGAUGUAUUUCACGCAACAUUACGGUCUGAAGAUGCAUCCAUUUUCCUACAAAUGACUCAAGUUUAUCUUCGUGGCAGAGUAGUACUUCGUUGUGUGUAAACACCAUAUUUUCUUUAUCCAUUCAUCUGUAGAUGGACAUAUAGGCUGCUUCCAAGACUUAGCUAUUAUGAAUUGUGCUGCUAUAAACCUGAAUAUUCAUGUAUCACUGUAAUGUGAUGUCUUCAAUGCUUCUGAGAAGAUGCCUAGAAGGGGAAUAGCUGGGUGGAAUGGAAUUUCUAGUUGUAGCUUUUUGAGAAAUCUCCACACUGAUUUCUGUAGUGGUUGUACUCCCGCUGACAAUGUAGAAGCUUCCUUUUUCUUCACAUCCUCAGCAGCAUUUGUUAUUAUUGGAUUUUUUUUUUCUGGUACUGGGAAUCAAACUCAGGACCUUGCACUUGCCAGGCAGCUGCAGCACCACUGACCUACAUCCUUGGCCCUAAUACUGGAUUUUUUUCAUGAUGGUCAUUCUUUCUAGGGUCAUACUUACUGGCAUUUUGUACUUCUUUUUUUUCUUUUUUCUGUGCCAGGGAUUGAACUUGGGACCUUGGGCUUGCAAGGCAGGCACCGUAACCACUGAGCUAAAUCCCCGGCCCAUGUACUUCUUCUAAGAAGUGUCUAUUCAUUUCCCUUGCCCUUUUUUUUUUUUUUUUUUUGAUUAGGACUUUCAUUCAGGGGUCUACUUUUUUGAGUUCUUUAUAUAGUCUAGAUAUUUGUCCUUUGAAGAGUAGCUGACAAAAAAUAUUUUUCCAUUCUGUAGGUUGUCCUUUCACUCUGUUGGUUGUUUCCUUUGCUAUCCAGGAACUUUUAUAAUUUAAAAUAAUCCCAUUCAUUGAUGCUUAAUGUUAUUCUCUUAAUGUAAUCAGGGUUCCGUUCAGAAAGUCCUUGCCUGUGUCUGUAUCUUAAAAGUGUUUUACCUGUUUUAUCUUCCAGCAGAUUGUUUCUGUUUUAACAUUUAGAUCUUUGAUCCAUUUUUAUUUUAGUUGAGUGCAUGGUGAGAGAUGUGGGUCUAGACUCAAUCUUCUGCAUGUGGAUAGCCAGUUUUCCCAGCACCAUUUCUUUUGUUUUGUUUGAUUUUGGGUACCAGGGAUCGAACUUGGGACCUUGCAUUUGCAAGGCAGGCGGCAGAACCACUGACCUAAAUCCCCAGCCCCUCCCAGCACCAUUUAUUAAAGAGGCUCUCUUUCCUCCAGUGUCUGUAUUUGGCCCCUCUGUCAAAGAUCAGAUAGCCAAAUGUGCCCGAGGUUGGUUUUGCAUCCUCUAUUCUGUUCCAUUGAUCCACAAGUCUGUUUUCCUGCCAGUACAAAGCAUCACUGUAGCUCUGUAAUAUAACUUGAAGUCUGGGAUUGUGAUGUCUCCUGCUUUCUCUCAUUGCCCAGUACUUCAUGGUACUUUCACACUUUCCUGUUGAAGUGCUUUACUCCUUCUCUUUGGCACAUCUCAAUUGCCAGGGUCACUAUUCUUAUACUUGGUGCCAGGCGUUUUUAAGGAAAAUAAGGGUUACUUGCACAAUUACUGAGAUUCUGAGACAGCUGAUUUGCUAACAGAAUUGGCUGCCAAGUAACCAAUAGGCAGGCAGUGGGCACGACUCAGACACGCUGGACAGAGGAGUGAUUCUCAUCCUGGG